AUGUUUGAACAUGAUGAAUCACUUUGUGCCGACCUGUUGCCCAUAAACUUUCCUGCCUCAUAUGAGAAUGGAAAACUGGAAGAUUUUCUGCAUCGGUGGAUGAAGAAUCACGAAUAUAAGAAUUUCUGGUUUAGCAUGUUCCCAGAAAGAAGAUACUUUUUUCCCAUUCGAGAAGCGAGGAGCACGACUGAAGUGGCUAUACAUACAAAUCCAUUUACGGAUCUAUAUGCUCUGAUUGGAACUGGAAGUUCCAGAACUGGCGGCUGGUAUACCACCAUAAUGAAAUUGCCUUUUAUUUUUAGUAUUCGGAUAGGAUUUCUGUUGGCUUCAUCGGGAGGCUCGCGUAGUUUGUUACGUCAACUCAAAAAGGAUAAGUUGCAUUGGAAUCGAGAAAGUUUCGUUCAUAAUUGCAUAAAAGGAGUAAAAAUAGUGGUUGCGGCGCGUCGAGGGUCAACCUUUGAUAUCGAAUAA
rnacentral:rRNA from 1 species